AAGGAUUUAAGUUAAGAGCAAACUUUUAGCCUUCAAAGCUAAUAAUAGAAAAUUUCUAAGCCUUA
rnacentral:tRNA from 1 species